AGAUCUGCCUACUUCUCCUCAGAACAGACUCAGGAUGGAAUCAUGCCAGGAAGCUCAGCUCUUUCCUACAAAGUCUGGCUGCAGACAUGCCCUUGGACCUGAUAGUUGAAGAUGAAAGGAAUUGUAACCUUUGAAACCGAGACAUUCUUGAGUCGGCGUCUUAGGACAGACUCUUCCUGAGUUACUGACAAUCCAAAACUGCUGAGAACACACCCCGAACCAGCCUGGAAGACACUGUGACCCCAGAAGGUUAUGAUCCAGCUCCAGGGCCA
rnacentral:lncRNA from 1 species